rnacentral:rRNA from 1 species
GGUUAAGCGACUAAGCGUACACGGUGGAUGCCCUGGCAGUCAGAGGCGAUGAAGGACGUGCUAAUCUGCGAUAAGCGUCGGUAAGGUGAUAUGAACCGUUAUAACCGGCGAUUUCCGAAUGGGGAAACCCAGUGUGUUUCGACACACUAUCAUUAACUGAAUCCAUAGGUUAAUGAGGCGAACCGGGGGAACUGAAACAUCUAAGUACCCCGAGGAAAAGAAAUCAACCGAGAUUCCCCCAGUAGCGGCGAGCGAACGGGGAGCAGCCCAGAGCCUGAAUCAGUGUGUGUGUUAGUGGAAGCGUCUGGAAAGGCGCGCGAUACAGGGUGACAGCCCCGUACACAAAAAUGCACAUGCUGUGAGCUCGAUGAGUAGGGCGGGACACGUGGUAUCCUGUCUGAAUAUGGGGGGACCAUCCUCCAAGGCUAAAUACUCCUGACUGACCGAUAGUGAACCAGUACCGUGAGGGAAAGGCGAAAAGAACCCCGGCGAGGGGAGUGAAAAAGAACCUGAAACCGUGUACGUACAAGCAGUGGGAGCACGCUUAGGCGUGUGACUGCGUACCUUUUGUAUAAUGGGUCAGCGACUUAUAUUCUGUAGCAAGGUUAACCGAAUAGGGGAGCCGAAGGGAAACCGAGUCUUAACUGGGCGUUAAGUUGCAGGGUAUAGACCCGAAACCCGGUGAUCUAGCCAUGGGCAGGUUGAAGGUUGGGUAACACUAACUGGAGGACCGAACCGACUAAUGUUGAAAAAUUAGCGGAUGACUUGUGGCUGGGGGUGAAAGGCCAAUCAAACCGGGAGAUAGCUGGUUCUCCCCGAAAGCUAUUUAGGUAGCGCCUCGUGAAUUCAUCUCCGGGGGUAGAGCACUGUUUCGGCAAGGGGGUCAUCCCGACUUACCAACCCGAUGCAAACUGCGAAUACCGGAGAAUGUUAUCACGGGAGACACACGGCGGGUGCUAACGUCCGUCGUGAAGAGGGAAACAACCCAGACCGCCAGCUAAGGUCCCAAAGUCAUGGUUAAGUGGGAAACGAUGUGGGAAGGCCCAGACAGCCAGGAUGUUGGCUUAGAAGCAGCCAUCAUUUAAAGAAAGCGUAAUAGCUCACUGGUCGAGUCGGCCUGCGCGGAAGAUGUAACGGGGCUAAACCAUGCACCGAAGCUGCGGCAGCGACGCUUAUGCGUUGUUGGGUAGGGGAGCGUUCUGUAAGCCUGCGAAGGUGUGCUGUGAGGCAUGCUGGAGGUAUCAGAAGUGCGAAUGCUGACAUAAGUAACGAUAAAGCGGGUGAAAAGCCCGCUCGCCGGAAGACCAAGGGUUCCUGUCCAACGUUAAUCGGGGCAGGGUGAGUCGACCCCUAAGGCGAGGCCGAAAGGCGUAGUCGAUGGGAAACAGGUUAAUAUUCCUGUACUUGGUGUUACUGCGAAGGGGGGACGCAGAAGGCUAUGUUGGCCGGGCGACGGUUGUCCCGGUUUAAGCGUGUAGGCUGGUUUUCCAGGCAAAUCCGGAAAAUCAAGGCUGAGGCGUGAUGACGAGGCACUACGGUGCUGAAGCAACAAAUGCCCUGCUUCCAGGAAAAGCCUCUAAGCAUCAGGUAACAUCAAAUCGUACCCCAAACCGACACAGGUGGUCAGGUAGAGAAUACCAAGGCGCUUGAGAGAACUCGGGUGAAGGAACUAGGCAAAAUGGUGCCGUAACUUCGGGAGAAGGCACGCUGAUAUGUAGGUGAGGUCCCUCGCGGAUGGAGCUGAAAUCAGUCGAAGAUACCAGCUGGCUGCAACUGUUUAUUAAAAACACAGCACUGUGCAAACACGAAAGUGGACGUAUACGGUGUGACGCCUGCCCGGUGCCGGAAGGUUAAUUGAUGGGGUUAGCGCAAGCGAAGCUCUUGAUCGAAGCCCCGGUAAACGGCGGCCGUAACUAUAACGGUCCUAAGGUAGCGAAAUUCCUUGUCGGGUAAGUUCCGACCUGCACGAAUGGCGUAAUGAUGGCCAGGCUGUCUCCACCCGAGACUCAGUGAAAUUGAACUCGCUGUGAAGAUGCAGUGUACCCGCGGCAAGACGGAAAGACCCCGUGAACCUUUACUAUAGCUUGACACUGAACAUUGAGCCUUGAUGUGUAGGAUAGGUGGGAGGCUUUGAAGUGUGGACGCCAGUCUGCAUGGAGCCGACCUUGAAAUACCACCCUUUAAUGUUUGAUGUUCUAACGUUGACCCGUAAUCCGGGUUGCGGACAGUGUCUGGUGGGUAGUUUGACUGGGGCGGUCUCCUCCUAAAGAGUAACGGAGGAGCACGAAGGUUGGCUAAUCCUGGUCGGACAUCAGGAGGUUAGUGCAAUGGCAUAAGCCAGCUUGACUGCGAGCGUGACGGCGCGAGCAGGUGCGAAAGCAGGUCAUAGUGAUCCGGUGGUUCUGAAUGGAAGGGCCAUCGCUCAACGGAUAAAAGGUACUCCGGGGAUAACAGGCUGAUACCGCCCAAGAGUUCAUAUCGACGGCGGUGUUUGGCACCUCGAUGUCGGCUCAUCACAUCCUGGGGCUGAAGUAGGUCCCAAGGGUAUGGCUGUUCGCCAUUUAAAGUGGUACGCGAGCUGGGUUUAGAACGUCGUGAGACAGUUCGGUCCCUAUCUGCCGUGGGCGCUGGAGAACUGAGGGGGGCUGCUCCUAGUACGAGAGGACCGGAGUGGACGCAUCACUGGUGUUCGGGUUGUCAUGCCAAUGGCACUGCCCGGUAGCUAAAUGCGGAAGAGAUAAGUGCUGAAAGCAUCUAAGCACGAAACUUGCCCCGAGAUGAGUUCUCCCUGACCCUUUAAGGGUCCUGAAGGAACGUUGAAGACGACGACGUUGAUAGGCCGGGUGUGUAAGCGCAGCGAUGCGUUGAGCUAACCGGUACUAAUGAACCGUGAGGCUUAACCUU